rnacentral:rRNA from 1 species
UACUCAGCAGUAAUUAACAUUAAGCAAUAAGUGAAAACUUGACUUAGUUAUAGCGACCCCCCAGGGCCGGUAAAUCUUGUGCCAGCCACCGCGGUCAUACAAGAGGCCCAAACUAAUAGUAAUCGGCGUAAAGUGUGGUAAUAUGUUAUCUAACUAACUAAGACCAAAAUACAACUAAGCUGUCAUAAGCUCAAGAUGCCUCUAAAACCUCCAUAAAUAUGAUCUUAGCAUCCACGACCAAUUUCAACCCACGAAAGCUAAGGCACAAACUGGGAUUAGAUACCCCACUAUGCUUAGCCCUAAAUCCAGAUACUUACCCUACACAAGUAUCCGCCCGAGAACUACGAGCAC